rnacentral:lncRNA from 10 species
GCCCCAAGUGGAACCGAUGAGCGGGGUGCUACUGUGUGGUUGCCCCCACAUCUGACUCACCUCAGUGCCCAGGAUGGGAGCAAAGCACAGGGGAGUUCAGCCUACACCCAGGAAUGCACAAGGACAGCUUGGAGCUUAGAAGCAAGUGGAGUUGGUUCAUCUCUUUCACUGGCUCAUAAUUUUGCAACGGCGGUUUCAUCUCUACCCUGACAAUACCUUUUAGUUUUCUUACCCACUGGGGUCGAGACUUAAUUGAAGACCUCAGACGGACAGCAUAACACGGAACCUGAGACCUUGAUUUGCGGGGACAGGCUUAAAGUGUAUUCUGGAGUUGGUGCCCCCACCCCAGGGGCCGGCUCAGAGGGUUCACUUUCCAGCCUAACGGCAGGGGAACCAGAGGCUGCCGACCUGGAUCUCACCUUGAUGGAGGUCUUGUCACCUUCCUCCUUGGCUGGAGAGACAGACUGUGGAUGCUCUCCUGCUGGCCACCCAAAAACAACAAACAGACAAACAAAUAUGAAUGAGGAAAACUUGAAGAGGCCCCACGUGCCAGAGGUGGGACAGCUUGAGAUUUGGUGAGGAUAAUUGCAGUGGCUCAAAACCCAUAAAGAAGUUUAAGUCCAUGAGUUCACCGUAAUCUGAAACAAAAACAAAAACAAAAACAAAUUGAUCAUCUUUGGAGGCUAACAAUCAAUUCAUU